UGUUGUGAACUCGAAGAGUAGGGCGGGACACGUGGUAUCCUGUCUGAAUAUGGGGGGACCAUCCUCCAAGGCUAAAUACUCCUGACUGACCGAUAGUGAACCAGUACCGUGAGGGAAAGGCGAAAAGAACCCCGGCGAGGGGAGUGAAAAAGAACCUGAAACCGUGUACGUACAAGCAGUGGGAGCCUCUUUAUGGGGUGACUGCGUACCUUUUGUAUAAUGGGUCAGCGACUUAUAUUCUGUAGCAAGGUUAACCGAAUAGGGGAGCCGAAGGGAAACCGAGUCUUAACUGGGCGUUAAGUUGCAGGGUAUAGACCCGAAACCCGGUGAUCUAGCCAUGGGCAGGUUGAAGGUUGGGUAACACUAACUGGAGGACCGAACCGACUAAUGUUGAAAAAUUAGCGGAUGACUUGUGGCUGGGGGUGAAAGGCCAAUCAAACCGGGAGAUAGCUGGUUCUCCCCGAAAGCUAUUUAGGUAGCGCCUCGUGAAUUCAUCUUCGGGGGUAGAGCACUGUUUCGGCUAGGGGGUCAUCCCGACUUACCAACCCGAUGCAAACUGCGAAUACCGAAGAAUGUUAUCACGGGAGACACACGGCGGGUGCUAACGUCCGUCGUGAAGAGGGAAACAACCCAGACCGCCAGCUAAGGUCCCAAAGUCAUGGUUAAGUGGGAAACGAUGUGGGAAGGCACAGACAGCCAGGAUGUUGGCUUAGAAGCAGCCAUCAUUUAAAGAAAGCGUAAUAGCUCACUGGUCGAGUCGGCCUGCGCGGAAGAUGUAACGGGGCUAAACCAUGCACCGAAGCUGCGGCAGCGACACUAUGUGUUGUUGGGUAGGGGAGCGUUCUGUAAGCCGUUGAAGGUGGCCUGUGAGGGUAGGGGAGCGUUCUGUAAGCCGUUGAAGGUGUGCUGUGAGGCAUGCUGGAGGUAUCAGAAGUGCGAAUGCUGACAUAAGUAACGAUAAUGCGGGUGAAAAACCCGCACGCCGGAAGACCAAGGGUUCCUGUCCAACGUUAAUCGGGGCAGGGUGAGUCGACCCCUAAGGCGAGGCCGAAAGGCGUAGUCGAUGGGAAACAGGUUAAUAUUCCUGUACUUGGUGUUACUGCGAAGGGGGGACGGAGAAGGCUAUGUUAGCCGGGCGACGGUUGUCCCGGUUUAAGCAUGUAGGCGGAGAUUCCAGGUAAAUCCGGAGUCUUGCUAACGCUGAGGUGUGAUGACGAGGCACUACGGUGCUGAAGUAACAAAUGCCCUGCUUCCAGGAAAAGCCUCUAAGCAUCAGGUAACACGAAAUCGUACCCCAAACCGACACAGGUGGUCAGGUAGAGAAUACCAAGGCGCUUGAGAGAACUCGGGUGAAGGAACUAGGCAAAAUGGUGCCGUAACUUCGGGAGAAGGCACGCUGAUAUGUAGGUGAAGUGAUUUACUCAUGGAGCUGAAAUCAGUCGAAGAUACCAGCUGGCUGCAACUGUUUAUUAAAAACACAGCACUGUGCAAACACGAAAGUGGACGUAUACGGUGUGACGCCUGCCCGGUGCCGGAAGGUUAAUUGAUGGGGUUAUCCGUAAGGAGAAGCUCUUGAUCGAAGCCCCGGUAAACGGCGGCCGUAACUAUAACGGUCCUAAGGUAGCGAAAUUCCUUGUCGGGUAAGUUCCGACCUGCACGAAUGGCGUAAUGAUGGCCAGGCUGUCUCCACCCGAGACUCAGUGAAAUUGAACUCGCUGUGAAGAUGCAGUGUACCCGCGGCAAGACGGAAAGACCCCGUGAACCUUUACUAUAGCUUGACACUGAACACUGGUCCUUGAUGUGUAGGAUAGGUGGGAGGCUUUGAAGUGUGGACGCCAGUCUGCAUGGAGCCAACCUUGAAAUACCACCCUUUAAUGGCUGGUGUUCUAACGUAGACCCGUAAUCCGGGUUGCGGACAGUGUCUGGUGGGUAGUUUGACUGGGGCGGUCUCCUCCUAAAGAGUAACGGAGGAGCACGAAGGUUAGCUAAUCCUGGUCGGACAUCAGGAGGUUAGUGCAAAGGCAUAAGCUAGCUUGACUGCGAGAGUGACGGCUCGAGCAGGUGCGAAAGCAGGUCUUAGUGAUCCGGUGGUUCUGAAUGGAAGGGCCAUCGCUCAACGGAUAAAAGGUACUCCGGGGAUAACAGGCUGAUACCGCCCAAGAGUUCAUAUCGACGGCGGUGUUUGGCACCUCGAUGUCGGCUCAUCACAUCCUGGGGCUGAAGUAGGUCCCAAGGGUAUGGCUGUUCGCCAUUUAAAGUGGUACGCGAGCUGGGUUUAGAACGUCGUGAGACAGUUCGGUCCCUAUCUGCCGUGGGCGCUGGAGAAUUGAGGGGGGCUGCUCCUAGUACGAGAGGACCGGAGUGGACGCAUCACUGGUGUUCGGGUUGUCAUGCCAAUGGCAUUGCCCGGUAGCUAAAUGCGGAAGAGAUAAGUGCUGAAAGCAUCUAAGCACGAAACUUGCCCCGAGAUGAGUUCUCCCUGACCCUUUAAGGGUCCUGAAGGAACGUUGAAGACGACGACGUUGAUAGGUCGGGUGUGUAAGCGUAGCGAUACGUUGAGCUAACCGAUACUAAUGAACCGUGAGGCUUAACCUUACAAC
rnacentral:rRNA from 1 species